GAUCUCAGCAUUGCAGGCUAGAGGGAGAAAGAAAAAGGAACCCAAGGCAACGAAGUGUACAGGUCAAUGUGCUGGAACAGAUGCUUGAUCAGAAAAAUUUGUUGUUGCCGGUGGCCUUGGUUCCAUCUCGGUCAUUGGGUUUAGGAACUCAACAUUGUAUCGUUAGUCCAUUUUCCUGUUGAUAGAACCCCUCAAUACGUGAAGUGGGUGUGAAUGGGGCCAAUUUUUCCAAGUGGAGGGUGGAUAUAUCAACGGGAACAAGGGGGAUAACUGUACUUCAUUGAAAUUCAA
rnacentral:misc_RNA from 1 species